GUCCGCCCCACCCCCAGCACCCCGGCAGAAACCGCACCCCACUUCCCAUAGCCACGUUCUUCCCCAGACCUUACCCUGCCCAAGAGGUUGUCCUGAAGUAAUGUCUGCUGCAGCACUGGGGCCACCUCCUCCAAGCUCAACAUGUGGCAAAGGUCGUUCAUUUUUAACGUGCUGGAUUUUCCGAUGAAAGCCUGAAACCUGCACAUCUGAAGAUGCCUUCGCCAUGAUGCAAUGGAUGCCAAACACGACAUACACCCUUGGGACGGUGACCUCAGCCAUCUGCAACAAGGCUCUCAGAACCAGUCCUUUGACUAUAAAAAAAGCAGCAGCUUUCACUAACCAAGCAUCUUUAAUCCAAGCCAAAUUACAGAACUCUCUAACUUAGAGGUGAUCGUCCAUACGGCAGAUCAUUACAACAUGAAAAACGUAAGCUAAGAUGUUGAACACAGCCAGAACUGAAAAUAAAAGAGCUUUCUAAAACAAAUCAAUGUUGCUCUAGGUUGUGUUUGCUUUCUUUCCAUAGACAGCUGUUCAAAACAUGACAAGCUACAACAGGGCCACGAUCUUGCCAGGGGUUUCAGCAGAACUGGGUGGACACAGAAGAUAAAUGUGAACAGCUCUGCCAUACAGCUCAGUUUUUACUGGGGCCACUCAUUAAAGUAAAGCAACAUGGCACAAUUUUGGUCCAGGUUCCUGGUCUUGGACAGGUCUCUUCUCCUAAUUAUCAGUUUUUCUGUUACUAAGGUGCUGCAGGCUCUGGCUGUCUUCCCAGGAUUGGUCUGUUGGGUUAACUAAUCACUAUGUAAAUGUUUUCAAAAUAAGUUGAGAGUGUUAUAUAAACAUCAAAGCCUCAGAAAAGAAACACCAAGUUGUUAUGCAAAGCCACAGGAGUUAAGAAUUUAGACAAGGCCAACACUUCGCUAACAAGAUUCACUUAGAGUCCACCAGUUAAUUGUCAACUAAGAUCUGCUGAGAAUCCCCAAGGUGCUCCAGGAUUUUCAGUGUUGCGGUAGCUCUUAGUCUCACUCUGAGUUUUACAGUCCCCUGGGCUGUUAUCUGACCGACCUCAUAAAAGCAAGACUCUUCUUUUGCUUGAUUUUGCAUAUAUGUUUAAAAACUCAAAAGCGAAAGAAUUCUAACACUUCCCUUUUUAAAAAUUAUUUUUAAGGGGCGGGGAUUUGUCCAUCUUAAACCAAUGAAAGAGAGGAAUAAAACACUGAUGUACUGAGAAGCCCUGAUCUUAUCCACGGUGUCGAAUUUGAUAUACUAUCAUGCCCCACUCUUUGGGAGGUCAUUGGAUUUUCACUAAAUCAAACCUCUUUCAUUUUAUGGCAGCUUUCUUUUCUUUAUCUCUUUAUUUCAUCUCCUUCCUUCUCAAAACACUGUGCUUGACUGAAGGGGAGACAAGCACCACCCCUGUGGAACAAAUGCUCACGCUGAAACAUCCAGGAGAUGUUACGCAUGGUGACAAGUUGUCAGUGCUCAUCUGGCACAGAAGGCAUUUUUACUGGUUGAUAUUAUUUCCCAAAUGUUCAUCAGUAAUUUCAUGUGCAAGAAUUUUUUUCUCCCCACUUGGCAGAAAGUUCUUUAAUGGUAAGAUCCACGCUCCUAUUUCUUUUAUAUCUUCCCCCAAAUGCAUACUACAGUCAGUCUGUUCUUCAAGCCAGGGAUUUGGUAAAUAUCAUGGAUUGACUUCCUGUAUGGAUCACUCCUUGAGAGGAAACGUACCCUAAAUGAGGUCUACAGAAAUGGGCAUAUGAAAAUUUUGGAAUGCCCAUCUCAUCCACCUACACACCUCCACUUCCCCCAUCCCACCCUUUCUCAAA
rnacentral:lncRNA from 1 species